AGAGGUGGAGGAACCCGGUGGCUCCCAUUAACCUGUCCUGCAGGGGGUGAGGAGUUUAUAAACCAGGCUCAGUGGAGGCUGAGUUCUUUAGGGAAGGGAUGAGAGAAGCAGCUCUCUUGGCAUGUUUGAGAUCCCCUUUGUGGUGAGAGCUUGCAGUGACCUUAGAGGUCUUUUCUCCAACACUGAAAGCAUCCUCAGCUACCACGUGGCAGCUUGAUGCAGCAGAGAAAGCCCUGCUUGGAUCUGCAUCGCUGCAUGUGUGGGCCAGCAGAACUAACCAGCCACUGAAGCCAGCAGUCCCGGUGUUGUGGUCCAUCUCCGUGCCAGUUUUCCUCACCCAUUUGGAGAUCCAAUGAUUCAUGAAGACCUCAAUUAAUUUGGGAAAGGGAAUAAAAUAGCGUUAAACGUGAUGAACCUCGCGCUGCUGCCAACCCCACAGUCAUUUCCGGACUCUUCCAGCUGGAUUUGUGGAUGGAAUCCUUGAACUUCUUUGCUGACUGGCAUCAUUACAAGCCCCAUGUUGUCCUAGGUAGGGAGAGAAGGGGACCAAGAAGACACUGAGAGACCUCUGGAGCAAAGUGAUGUGGGCUGUAGAUCUAUAGAUUAAAGCAAGGGUGAAGGCCAAGUGGUUGUGUCAGUUGGAAGAUCCAGGGCCAGGAGCUGGCCUUAGCAGCACAAGUCUUUCCAUUGCUGGUUCAUUCACUUCUACUGCUCAGGAAGGCAAAACCACAAGAGGAUGGUUGAAGUCAGGCAUUCAACAUCCCACUUCCCCCCAGGAUCCCGGUUGGUGUUUGCUGGACAAGGCCCUGCACCAGGAGAAGGGUUUGCUGAGAGAGGAAAAGCUCAUCUGGGAUGGUUUUCACACCACAGGAAAGCCAAGCAGAAAGUUCCUCGAGGGUGGCCGACUUUCCAUAGCUGCUUUCCAGGGGGAUUUCUUCCCCAUUCCUCUCAGCAGCUGUAUUCACAG